AUACGGAGGGUGCAAGCGUUACUCGGAAUCACUGGGCGUAAAGCGCGCGCAGGCGGUCUUUUAAGUUGGAUGUGAAAGCCUACAGCUCAACUGUAGAACUGCAUCCAAAACUGUCAAGCUAGAGUCUGGGAGGGGAAUAUGGAAUUAGUUGUGUAGGGGUAAAAUCCGUAGAGAUAACUAGGAAUACCAAAAGCGAAGGCGAUCUUCUGGAACAGUACUGACGCUGAGGCGCGAAAGCGUGGGGAGCAAACAGGAUUAGAUACCCGAGUAGUCC
rnacentral:rRNA from 1 species